rnacentral:lncRNA from 1 species
AUGCAAUUAAAAUAAAUAUGUAUUCUAGUGUUUUGGGGUGGAGUUAAUCUAUAAAGAAUUGGAUCGGUUUGCUUAACAGUUUUGUUCAAAAGUUGUAUAUCCUUACUAAAUUUCUCAGUAAGUAAUUUUAAUCAAUUAUUAAGUGAGAAGUAUUAAAAUAUUCCAUUAUAAAUGAGAUUGUUCUGUUUAUUCUUUUAAUUUCCUCAUUAAUAAUUUUGAACUCAGUUAUUAGGUAUACACACAUUUAGUUUGGUUUUAGCCUCUUGAUAAAUUGAUCUCUUCAUCAUUAUGAGAAGUACUGCUAUAUCCCUGGAAUAUUCCUUGCUCUGACAUUUACAUUGCCUAAUAUUAAUAUGGAUACUCUAAUUUUUAUAUGUGUAUUCAAUGUUCUCAUAGUAUAACUUUUGCAUGCUUUUGCUUUUAUCAGAAAAGUAUCUUUAUAUGUAAAUAUGUUUCUUAAAGAUAGCACAUAAUUGAGUCUUUAAAAAAAAGUUAUAUGUCUAGGAACAAUGGUUCACGCCUGUAAUCCUAUCACUAGGAUUACAUUAGCUAGUGUAAUCUUAGCACUAGCUGGGGCAGGUGGAUCACUUGAGGUCAGGAGUUUGAAACCAGCCUGGCCAACAUGGAGAAACCCCGUCUCCACUAAAAACACAAAAAAAUAGCCAGGCAUGGUGGCACAUGCCUGUAAUCCCAGCUACUUGGGGGGCUAAGGUGGGAGAAUUACUUCAACCCGGGAGGCGGAGAUGGCAGUGAGAGGAGAUCGCAUCACUGCACUCCAGCCUGGGCGACAGAGCAAGACUCUGUCUUAAAAAAAAAAUACAAAAUAAAAAAAAAAUUAUGUUUGAGAUCUGAUAGUUUAAAAAUAUAUGGUAUAUAUGUGGAGAACACAUAUGUACUAUGUUCACCAAGAGGAGAUUUACUACAAAUAUAUUUUUUGUUUCUUGUUUCCUUCAAGCUCUGAGUGAGUUUGAAAGUGGAUCUUCUGGAGCCUUCCAACAGUCAUUUGAGGAAUCUGGAAGUGCAUUUUUGAUGCUUUCCCACAGCCACCUGAGUGAUCUGAAAUUUCUUCUCUCAUGUCUUGGAAUAAUUAUUUCCUACUAAAAGGGAUCCAGCAUAUAAAUCAACUCAGGAAAUACCUUCUUCCACUCAGGUACUAUGUAUCAUGUUACUGUUUUAUUUUUUAACAGUACUUACCGCAGUAUCAGCAGAUGUUAUUUUACUUAUUUAUUUUCUUCUUCCCUUCAUUGCAAUGUAAGCUGUAGAGAAUUAAUGAACCAGGAAGAGAAAAUAUUAUAUAAACCUGAGUCAGAACACCUGUUGGUGUAGUACUUAUGGAAGAUAAGGGGCCCAAAAAGCAAGUGAACUCAGCCUUAGAAUAAUUACAUACUUAUUUAAUGCCUUCACCAAUAUGUAUGAAAAAAGUCGCAUAAAUACAGAUAACUGAGAUAAAAGAGUAAUUGAACUGGUUAAAAAAUAUACAAAGACUUUGAAAGUUAUUGGAAGUAAGAUGACCAACAUUAAUGUUUCCAUAGAUUGAAUAUCUACUCUUUGUGAGAUGUUCAAAGCCUCAUAAUCAUCAGAGUGUACUCACAUUUUGUGAAUGAUAUGUCAGGUUAAAUUAUGAAAACAUACCUGAGGGAAAUGUGGCCUGGAUAUAUUGACUGAUUUCAGGUUAUAGAGAAAGACAUUAAAGCAGUGGGCCUGUGAUCACUUCUCUCUUGAUUAUGAGAGUGGGAAAUGUCCACAGAGAAGGAAUGGUAGGUUAUGGUCUAAACCUCUAGUAAAUACACUGAUAACUGACCUUCUGGUAGGUAGAUUAACAAUAUUUUCUAGAAGGUAGGUUCUUAUUUAUGGAAUAUUUUUAGCACAAAGUUACUAGUUUAAAAUAUUUUAUGAUUCACAAACAUAAGUUCCAUAGAUUUAUGGGGCAUGUCUCCCAGGACCCCAGGAAAGUCUAAUAAUCUGGGUGUCUAUCUGAGAUAUAAAAUAGAGGGAUUUAAUAACCUAAAUGAUCCCAACUUUGUGAGAUGACUCCAAAACUUCCCUUAGAGAAUCCAUCUGUUACUCUGGGUCACGCAGGUGAGUGAUGAGUAAAGGAAAGAUCCACAUGAGAUGUCCUGGAUUUCCCUUUUUCUGCCUGACUUCCUUGAUUAUUUGUGUUCUCAAAUGUAUUAGUAAAAUUUGACACAAGGUAGGAUCUCUGUGAGUCUGAUUUGAUCAUUUCAUCAGCUGUGCUAGUUUAACCUUCUACACAGAUCAUUCUUAUUAUAGUACUCUUGUCUAGGAAGAGCCUUGACAAAAAGGAUCUCUUUAUGCUUAAGUAACCAUGCUUAGUACCAGUUGAUAACAUUUCAACUUAAUGUUACCUUUCAUAUUCUAUACAUGCA